rnacentral:rRNA from 1 species
UACGGAGGGUGCAAACGUUGCUCGGAAUCAUUGGGCGUAAAGCGCACGUAGGCGGUUUGUUAAGUCGGAUGUGAAAGCCCUCGGCUUAACCGAGGAAGUGCAUACGAAACUGGCGAACUUGAGUACGGGAGAGGGUCGCGGAAUUCCCGGUGUAGAGGUGAAAUUCGUAGAUAUCGGGAGGAACACCAGUGGCGAAGGCGGGUUGCUGGGCUGAUACUGACGCUGAGGCGCGAAAGCCAGGGGAGCGAACGGG